AAUCAACGCUGGCGGCGUGCCUCAGACAUGCAAGUCGAACGAUUAAAGCUCUCUUCGGAGAGUGUAUAAAGUGGCGCACGGGUGAGUAACACGUAAGUAAUCUACCUUCGAGUGGGGAAUAACGUCCGGAACGGACGCUAAUACCGCAUAAUGCAGCGGCAUCGCAAGAUGACAGUUGUUAAAGAUUUAUCGCUUGAAGAGGAGCUUGCGGCAGAUAGCUAGUUGGUAAGGUAAUGGCUUACCAAGGCUACGAUCUGUAACCGGUCUAAGAGGACGGUCGGUCACACUGACACUGAAUAACGGGUCAGACUCCUACGGGAGGCAGCAGUCGGG
rnacentral:rRNA from 1 species